UCAAUAGUAGUUUUCAUAUCUUCCUGAUACGUAGUAUUAGAAAACGCAAUGCUCAGACAUAUUUUUUGAAAAUUAAGCUAGAAGUUAUAUAAUACGAGACAGAUUAUUGGUAAUGAAACAUUUAAAAACCUACGUUUGAAGAAGAUAAUGUACGGUUACUUUAAAUGUUCAGACUGCGGUCUGCAAUGGAGUGCGAAGUUGCAUUUUAAAGAUAAGAGGAGAAAUGUGUAUUACGCACAUGACUGUGCGGUGUGUGGCAAUAUGUGUCAGCCGUAUCGUGUUAAGGAGACCACGUGCUCUAGGUGCGGGGAGGUGGUUAGAACGUGCGGCUGCGACAAGACCCGCCGCACGGACCACAACAAGCCAUAGUGUGGUGAGGUUUGGCGACCCUUGCAAGGAACCUACCAACUUCAGUGAACCUUUACUAAUCCUACAUAAUAUUUGAAUAAAAUGCUUCAGAACAUUGUAUAUUUCGGGAAAAAAUAAUACUAAUUAUAAAAUAUAAAAACUGUUUAUAAUAAUGUUAUUUAUUUGUAUAUGGUUACAUAUAAAGUAUGCAUAUACAGUCAUGGGAGAACAAUAUGAUUUUGAUUUUUAACACACUACAAAUAUAAAUUAUUACUUCAAUGAUAAUGAUGUUUUUAAAUGCGGAAUGCAACAUGCCUUUCUUUUUGCUUAUGCAUGCUUUUGUUAUGUACGUUAAGACUAAAAUAACAUUAAAAUCCACUGUUAUAACGA